rnacentral:misc_RNA from 1 species
AACGCACCUUGCGCUCCUUGGUAUUCCGAGGAGCAUGCCUGUUUGAGUGUCUUGAAGUCAUCAACCCCUUCCGUUUCGUGCGGACCGGGUUGGAAGUGGGGGCUUUGCUGCCGUGAGGCGGCUCCCCUCAAAUGUAUCGGUUGGGCCUGUGGGUCGAACUCGACUGGGCGUUGUACCAUCCUCGCUCGACAGAGACGUUCCCCUGUUGUGCCCUUCCCCGACCUGCCUCUCAGAGUGGCGGUCAACAUAUUUGAAAUCUGACCUCAAAUCAGGUAGGACUACCCGCUGAACUUAA